rnacentral:rRNA from 1 species
AGAGUUUGAUCCUGGCUCAGGAUGAACGCUGGCGGCGUGCCUAACACAUGUAAGUCGAACGAUGAAGCCCGCUUUUAGUGGGUGGAUUAGUGGCGAACGGGUGAGUAACACGUAGGUGACCUGCCCUAGAGAGGAGAAUAACCAUGCGAAAGCGUGGCUAAUACUCCAUACGCUCGGUUAUUCGUUUAGCCGAGUAAAGCUACGGCGCUCUGGGAGGGGCCUGCGGCCCAUCAGCUAGUUGGUAGGGUAAUGGCCUACCAAGGCUAUGACGGGUAGCUGGUCUGAGAGGACGAUCAGCCACAAUGGGACUGAAACACGGCCCAUACUCCUACGGGAGGCAGCAGUGAGGAAUAUUGGACAAUCAACGAAAGUUGGAUCCAGCAACGCCGCGUGGAUGAUGAAGGCCUUCGGGUUGUAAAAUCCUUUUAAGAGGGAAGAGUAAGGACGGUACCUCUUGAAUAAGUCUCGGCUAACUACGUGCCAGCAGCCGCGGUAACACGUAGGAGGCUAGCGUUAUCCGGAUUUAUUGGGCGUAAAGCGCGCGCAGGCGGCUAGGUAAGUCGGGUGUGAAAGCCCCAGACUCAAUUUGGGGAGGUCACUCGAUACUGCUUGGCUUGAGAGCGGGAGAGGGAAGUAGAAUUCUGGGUGUAGUGGUGAAAUGCGUAGAUAUCCAGAGGAAUACCAGUGGCGAAGGCGGCUUCCUGGCCCGUUUCUGACGCUGAGGCGCGAAAGCGUGGGUAGCGAACGGAAUUAGAAACUCCGGUAGUCCACGCCGUAAACGAUGGGUACUAGGUGUGGGGAGUAUUAACCCUCUCCGUGCCGCAGCAAACGCGUUAAGUACCCCGCCUGCAGACUACGGCCGCAAGGCUAAAACGCAAAGGAAUUGACGGGGGCCCGCACAAGCAGCGGAGCGUGUGGUUCAAUUCGAAGAUACACGAAGAACCUUACCUGGGUUUGACAUGUUGGUAGUAGUGAAGCGAAAGUGGAACGAUCCUUCGGGAAGCCAUCACAGGUGCUGCAUGGCUGUCGUCAGCUCGUGCCGUGAGGUGUUGGGUUAAGUCCUGUAACGAGCGCAACCCUUACUGCCAGUUACAAGUGUCUGGCGGAACUGCCGGUGAUAAACCGGAGGAAGGUGAGGAUGACGUCAAGUCAGCAUGGCCUUUAUAUCCAGGGCUACACACACGCUACAAUGGCCGGCACAAUGGGUCGCCAAGCCGCGAGGCGGAGCUAAUCCUGAAAGUCGGUCUCAGUUCGGAUUGUAGGCUGCAACCCGCCUGCAUGAAGUUGGAGUUGCUAGUAACCGCGCGUCAGCAAUAGUGCGGUGAAUACGUUCCCGGGCCUUGUACACACCGCCCGUCACGUCAUGGGAGUCGAUCACACCUGAAGUCGGUGGGCUAACCUAACGGAGGCAGCUGUCGAAGGUGGGGUUGGCGACUGGGACGAAGUCGUAACAAGGUA